AGAACGAACGCUGGCGGCAGGCUUAACACAUGCAAGUCGAACGCUCGUAGCAAUACGGGAGUGGCAGACGGGUGAGUAACGCGUGGGAACAUGCCCUUUGGUUCGGAACAACUCCGGGAAACUGGAGCUAAAACCGGAUAAGCCCCUCGGGGGAAAGAUUUAUCGCCGAAGGAUUGGCCCGCGUCUGAUUAGCUAGUUGGUAGGGUAAUGGCCUACCAAGGCGACGAUCGGUAGCUGGUCUGAGAGGAUGACCAGCCUCACUGGGACUGAGACACGGCCCAGACUCCUACGGGAGGCAGCAGUGGGGAAUUGUUCGCAAUGGGCGCAAGCCUGACGACGCAACGCCGCGUGGAGGACGAAGAUCUUCGGGUCGUAAACUCCUGUCGAGUGGGAAGAAUGCUUCGGGGUGAAUACCCUUCGGAAUUGACGGUACACUAAGGAGCCCGGCUAACUCCGUGCCAGCAGCCGC
rnacentral:rRNA from 1 species